rnacentral:rRNA from 1 species
GCAGGCUUAAUACAUGCAAGUCGAGGGGUAAGGUUCCGCUUGCGGAACACACGACCGGCGCACGGGUGCGUAACGCGUAUGCAACCUACCCUUUACAGAGGAAUAGCCCCGAGAAAUCGGGAUUAAUACCUCAUAAUAUAGUGAAAUGGCAUCAUUUAAUAAUCAAAGCUCCGGCGGACAAGGAUGAGCAUGCGGAACAUUAGUUAGUUGGUGAGGUAAUGGCUCACCAAGACCACGAUGUUUAGGGGUUCUGAGAGGAUUAUCCCCCACACUGGUACUGAGACACGGACCAGACUCCUACGGGAGGCAGCAGUAGGGAAUAUUGGACAAUGGGCGCAAGCCUGAUCCAGCCAUGCCGCGUGGAGGGAUGAAGGCCCUACGGGUCGUAAACUGCUUUUAUAUGGGAAGAAACCCCCGGACGUGUCCGGGGCUGACGGUACCAUAAGAAUAAGGAUCGGCUAACUCCGUGCCAGCAGCCGCGGUAAUACGGAGGGUGCAAGCGUUGUCCGGAUUUAUUGGGUUUAAAGGGUGCGUAGGCGGAACAUUAAGUCAGUGGUGAAAUCUUACGGCUCAACCGUAAAACUGCCAUUGAUACUAUUGUUCUUGAGUACAGUUGAGGUGGUUGGAAUGCGUAGUGUAGCGGUGAAAUGCAUAGAGAUUACGCAGAACGCCAAUUGCGAAGGCAGAUCACUAAACUGUAACUGACGCUGAGGCACGAAAGCGUGGGGAGCGAACAGGAUUAGAUACCCUGGUAGUCCACGCCGUAAACGAUGGAUACUAGAUGUUCGGCUUUGAGGCUGAGUGUCCAAGCGAAAGCGAUAAGUAUCCCACCUGGGGAGUACGUCCGCAAGGAUGAAACUCAAAGGAAUUGACGGGGGCCCGCACAAGCGGUGGAGCAUGUGGUUUAAUUCGAUGAUACGCGAGGAACCUUACCUGGGCUAUAAUGUGAGUGACCGUCCGUGAAAGCGGAUUUUCUUCGGACACGAAACAAGGUGCUGCAUGGUUGUCGUCAGCUCGUGCCGUGAGGUGUUGGGUUAAGUCCCGCAACGAGCGCAACCCCUAUUCUUAGUUGCCAGCGAGUAAUGUCGGGGACUCUAAGGAGACUGCCUGCGCAAGCAGUGAGGAAGGUGGGGACGACGUCAAAUCAUCAUGGCCCUUACGCCCAGGGCUACACACGUGCUACAAUGGCCGGUACAAAGGGUUGCCAACUCGCGAGAGUGCGCAAAUCCCAAAAAGCCGGUCUCAGUUCGGAUCGGAGUCUGCAACUCGACUCCGUGAAGCCGGAAUCGCUAGUAAUCGCGUAUCAGCUACGACGCGGUGAAUACGUUCCCGGGCCUUGUACACACCGCCCGUCAAGCCA